rnacentral:ncRNA from 2 species
CAAUUUUGUAUCAUAAUUGGUUCUGAGAAGAAUAACAGGGAACCUAGUGUAACUCUAGGACUGUACCCGCAACUGUAAAUCUCAAUCAAAAAUUUGUUACAGAUAACCAUUAUUCAUUUGAUCUGAAUGAGAAGGAGUAACAAAUGAGAAAGUCAGGAGACCUACCAAUUUUAAUUUUAUUAA